CCUACGGGGGGCAGCAGUGGGGAAUAUUGGACAAUGGGGGGAACCCUGAUCCAGCCAUGCCGCGUGUGUGAAGAAGGCCCUCGGGUUGUAAAGCACUUUCAGUGAGGAAGAACGCCUGGUGGUUAAUACCCAUCAGGAAAGACAUCACUCACAGAAGAAGCACCGGCUAACUCCGUGCCAGCAGCCGCGGUAAUACGGAGGGUGCGAGCGUUAAUCGGAAUUACUGGGUGUAAAGCGCGCGUAGGUGGCUUGAUAAGCCGGUUGUGAAAGCCCCGGGCUCAACCUGGGAACGGCAUCCGGAACUGUCAAGCUAGAGUGCAGGAGAGGAAGGUAGAAUUCCCGGUGUAGCGGUGAAAUGCGUAGAGAUCGGGAGGAAUACCAGUGGCGAAGGCGGCCUUCUGGACUGACACUGACACUGAGGUGCGAAAGCGUGGGUAGCAAACAGGAUUAGAUACCCCGGUAGUC
rnacentral:rRNA from 1 species